UAGAGACGAACACACGUCUCCUUUGGCUUUCAGGUUGCCCUUUCUCUUCCGGAUGGAGAAAACGGAGGAUUUGGACUCAGAUUUGUUUUUCUUCUUUCCUGGUCCUGUGCCAUGCAUCACCCCUCCACCUCCGCCGUGCUUACCGUGGAGUUUCUUUCCUCCCUUUUUUGUGGUGUCCCCUCCUCCCUCUCUCCAUCCUUCAUCCAGGGAAGGAUAGCUUCCAUUACCCGAUGCUGCUGCAGCUUUCUUUUGCUUAGCCUCCUGGUUGCCCAUGUUGAUAGAGAGCGUCUGGCGGCUUCCGGCCUCCACUCAGGUCAUGCCUGGAAGAGCUCCUCCUGCCAGGGGGAGGAUUUAGAUGCCCGUGCCUGCGAAACGUAGAACCGUCUCGGCCUAAUCCGUGGAUGCACGUCUGGUGGAGGUGGAGAUGGAGGAGGAGGAGCUGCUGAUGGUGUGUUUUUUUUCUGUUGUGAGACAAGCUUCCUCGCUGUUUUCUGGUGACGAAGGCUGGCGUGGCAAUGAUGUUGACGCCGAUGCAGGAGGGACAUACAGCUCCCCCUUCCCUCCUCCCCUUUCUCGCUCUCUCUCCCUCUGUCUUACCCCCCCCCCCCUCCUCCUCCUCCUCCUCUCCAUCGGCUGAAAGGAGUGACGCAGGCAGUGCGUGCUCAGUGGAGGUCUGGCGGGGAGGCAGACUGAGGGAGAGGAAGAGCAGCUAGGACGGGGACAUAAAGCGAGGCCGGCUGGAAAAUAGAGCGAAUAGGAAUACAGAUGCUGACCACGGUGCUGGGAAGGGGGGGGGGGGACCGCAGUAACUGCACCCUCCAUCUGGCGGAUGGAGAGUGUGAAGCGGCUAUUUGCUCACUACAUUUCCCAUGAUUCCCCAACUCCUGCCUACAUCCCCCAUAGUACUAAGUGUGGGCGAGACUCCGGGAACCUCUCAUGCAGCUCCACGUCAGCGUGGGAUGCUGCUACUUUUAAAAAAAUAGCCUCAUUCUAUUUACCAUGAAUAUUAAUUUGUAUUAUUGGAAAAAAAUAAAGCCAAGACAAUCGUUUAUUUUAAUGGUGGCAUCCAUUUCUUCACCUCAUCCCAAAAUAAUCAUAACUACAGCAUUUUACAAAUAUAAUGACAUACAAACAAGCACAUGACACGACAAACACAUAAGAUCAGUAACAUUAUGGUUACUUAUAUCAUGAAUGCCUGUUUACUGAACUGUGAGCACUCGUCUGGACUUUUUGUGAGGACAGGUGUUGAUCACAGUAGGUAUGAAUCUGUUUCAACUCUUCUAUCCAUGACUUGUCUUGUACUGCUGCAAAAAAGGGAAGGGGACUUUUGUUGAUCGAUAAAAAUGUCACUAAGGAAAUGAAGAAUUCAGCAGAAAAGCCCACUAUACAUGAACUUCAUCCAAUGCCAUGAAAGCCAGAAACAAACUCGAGCCAGUUGACUCUUAAUAACUUCUCGUCUCAGAAGGGGCGAGGGUAACAGCAAUAUUCUUUGAUCAGAGGUUCAGACCAGCGGGACAACUGUCCCCAGAAGAGGAAUCGGUCCUCCGUGGAUUGUCCUUUCAAAGCUCCUGUCACUCCUCAGCCCUCCAAUUCGGAUGCUCAUGUGCCUUUACUCUGUCCCCUGUCCCAUCUGCUGACAGCUGCACCAUGCAGCCUCCAGAUAAAAGAGCUGAGAAAUAAAACUGAGAUAAAAGCCGUCAUAGUAUUUCAAUAAGUUGACUUAAUAAUAUUGUAAUUUGAAGUCUGUUAACUUCAUGUUUGCUAUUAAAACCGUUUGUAAGUGUUACGUUUUUGUCAGUCAGUUUGCAGCCUCUCUUUAACCUCCUGACAGAUCACAAACGACCUGCUAACCAGCCGGAGCACCGAGUUCCCUCCUCCACCUUUGCCUCUGGUAGCCACCUGCAGCCAGGAGCUUCCUCCAACCCCCAUAUUGCUGCCUCCUAAUGAAUAUCCAAACAUUUAUUAAAGCAAUAAAGUAUGAGAGGCUUUACUUUGUCAUCCAAUAAUGUAACAGUUCGGGGGUGUUUAGGCCCGACGUGGAGAACUGUUACAUUUUUCGGCAAUCGCCACCGAGCUAAAAGCUUAAAUGUCAACGGUCAAGCAUGUUACUUUGAGUGCGCAGAGGAUACAGAACGCUGAGGUCAACAUGAACAGCAACUGUACAUUAUGGCUCAAUAAUGUCCCCCUCGUGACUCACUCCCAACCAAUCAGAACGCUCUAUUUACCCGUAUUAUAAUCAUAUCUAUAACUC
ensembl:lncRNA